AAUCCGCCUUGAUAGCCAAUACAAUCACGCAGCAGCAAGUGACAGACAGUACCUCGUGACAGCAGGAAGAAAGAAUAAAACAAAAACCCAUCAGAUAGUAGAAGUAGUGCAUCUAAAUUUACUUAUAAUAAGCUAAAACUAAUUAAAACUACUUAAGCUAAUUUAUACUAAGUGAAUUACACCACCACCGUAUAACCUACAAGAUACAAAAACCGUUCCGUGCCGAUUUCGGUAUUCAAUUAGGCCCGAAGAUCGUGAAUCAAAUUCUAUCGCCUGUUUCUAGUUGGCACGUCAGGACUGUGCAGUUUCCUACCGUCAGGUACCCUAUAACCGUCUGCUUAGGAAAGUUAGUAAACGUAAGUAAAUAUGGAAAUUGAAAUAGCUGAAACAAAACAUUAACAGAUUAUUUAUUGUCAUGAUACAGGAAUUUUGUAAUCCUUCUCCUACUUUGAAUAAAAUUGGAUUAACAAAUUCGGAAAUAUUUCUACGUCCUGUCUGUGCGCAACAAUUUACAAAAUUCGUUUAUCUCGAGCGAUUCUCGAGAUAUGUCGGG